ACGAACGCUGGCGGCGUGCCUAAUACCUGCAAGUAGCACGCUGAAGAGAGGAGCUUACUCUUCUUGGAUGAGUUGCGAACGGGUGAGUAACGCGUAGGUAACCUGCCUUGUAGCGGGGGAUAACUAUUGGAAACGAUAGCUAAUACCGCAUAACAAUGGAUGACACAUGUCAUUUAUUUGAAAGGGGCAAUUGCUCCACUACAAGAUGGACCUGCGUUGUAUUAGCUAGUAGGUGAGGUAAUGGCUCACCUAGGCGACGAUACAUAGCCGACCUGAGAGGGUGAUCGGCCACACUGGGACUGAGACACGGCCCAGACUCCUACGGGAGGCAGCAGUAGGGAAUCUUCGGCAAUGGGGGCAACCCUGACCGAGCAACGCCGCGUGAGUGAAGAAGGUUUUCGGAUCGUAAAGCUCUGUUGUAAGUCAAGAACGGGUGUGAGAGUGGAAAGUUCACACUGUGACGGUAGCUUACCAGAAAGGGACGGCUAACUACGUG
rnacentral:rRNA from 1 species